GCAAUAGAAUGUACUAUAAAAAGUCCUCUUCGUAAAUACGAGGAAUCAAUCGAACAAACCCUUAGAAAGAACAUUUUCUCACUUUACCUGCUCUCUCUGCUUAGUAUGUGUUUGGAUGGAGGGUUUUGGGUGUAUAAGACAUGGCGGUCUAUAUUUUUUUUAGGUGUUUAGUUGCUGGGCAAAAGUGGGAUAGGACGGCCCGGAGGAGAAUAUUCCCCCAGAUGCAGCCGCCCAAGGCUCGGGCGAGCCGGGCGAGCGACCAAAGGAGGGUCGCGUCACCCCUCUCCAAAAGCGAGAACGACGGCGACGCAGCGGCUGGUGCGUGCGGCGAGGGCGGCGACCAACGCGAGACGCGAGAGCCAUGACGGCGGGAGGUGAGCUCGACGGCGGCGGGAAGAGGGGUCGACGGUGUGCCCGGAGGCGGCGGCGGCAGGAGGCGAGCUCGGCAGCGGCACGGGAUGUGAGCUCGGCGGCGGUGGGAGGAGAGCGAGGCAGCCAAGGCGGAAGAGGGGCCGACGACGAGCGGGAAGAGGGGUGACGGCGAGCCGGCGGCGGCGGCAGGAUGCGAGGGCGGCGGCGGCGAGCUCGGCAUAGGCCCGGGAUGCGAGCUUGGCGGCGGCGGAAGGCGAGCUUGGCGGCCGACGCGGAAGAGGGGGCGACGGCGGCAAGAAGCGAGGGCAGCGGCGGCGUGCUUGGAGGCUCUCUUUUUUUCCCCUUUUUUCUUUGUUAUUUUUCUUUUUUUUUCUGUGUGGAUUUGUAAUCGGGUUUUGGGUCUCGCCCCACUCACGUUAGGAGAGAAGGUAUCCACUAACCCACCGUGGCAGAAAAUCAAAUAUUGAUUUUUCUUAUUUUGCAAAAUAUGUUCACUGCGCGGUCUUGGUGGCGCUAUGUUCUGCAUGCAAGGCCAUUUGAAAGUUCUGCAUGCAAGGCUUGCUAAUCCGCACGCAUACAAGGCCGUUUGAUCAGGAAGUUGUUAGUGUUGAGGUUGUUACCAAGAUAUCUAUUUAAAACGGCGGCGAGGUAGGUCAGAAGAGGAGGGAUUUGUGAGCAGAAGCAGAUCAGUUCUGCGGAAAUUUGAUGGAGCAUAAUCUUUUGGGGGUAGAGGGCAGAAACUCGUCAGCAAGUUCAGAAGGCGGAACCUUGUCGACACAUGAUGUCGCAUGCAGAAGGCGGCGAUAGCCGUUGGUUCGUCCUUGCCGGCGAGUUCAGGCGAGCACCACAAGCCGACGGUGGAAGAAGGUGGAACCGCGUCGGCGUCUCGGCGAGUGGUGACAUGCAGCAGAAGCCGGCGGUGGCGAAAGGCUGAUCCUUGCCGACGAGUUCUUUUGCUCAGCACAAGCGGGCGGUGCGGGAGGACGGAGGUCUGUUGAAUGGACACGAGUGUGUGCAGAACUCAUCAACUGAUUGGAAUGGUUUUGUGCAACUGUGCAUUGCAUGGCUACUGGUGAUAGGAGUGAAGUGAUGAAUCGCUCUCUCCAGAAAUAUGACAUCCAUUUCCAGAAAUAGUCACACAGUUUGCAACAUGAAUUUCAGAAGCUGCGGAGAACCCCCGGCGCCGCAGAAGUUGUUCCGAUCGAACAUCUAACCAAGGAGAACAUUUAGCCAGUUGUUUAAUGAGCAGAUCAUAUGGAAUAAUGGCUUGCUUUCUGCAUGACCGUUGAUUAGUAGUACGAACUAUCUAUAGUUAUGUAUGAUAUUUUCUAUGAGAGAAACGCGACUAAUAUUUGAGUUGAGUUUUCUGUAACUUCUACUCGUUGGAGUGAAAUAAAAAUAAGAAGUUUUCCUU